AUUGAACGCUGGCGGCAUGCCUUACACAUGCAAGUCGAACGGUAACAGGUCUUCGGAUGCUGACAAGUGGCGAACGGGUGAGUAAUACAUCGGAACGUGCCUAGUAGUGGGGGAUAACUACUCGAAAGAGUGGCUAAUACCGCAUGAGAUCUACGGAUGAAAGCAGGGGAUCGCAAGACCUUGUGCUACUAGAGCGGCCGAUGGCAGAUUAGGUAGUUGGUGGGAUAAAAGCUUACCAAGCCGACGAUCUGUAGCUGGUCUGAGAUGACGAUCAGCCCCACUGGACCUGAGACACGGCCCAGACUCCUACGGGAGGCAGCAGUGGGGAAGUUUGGACAAUGGGCGCAAGCCUGAGCCAGCAAUGCCGCGUGCAGGAUGAAGGCCUUCGGGUUGUAAACUGCUUUUGUACGGAACGAAAAGCCCUGGGUUAAUACCCUGGGGUCAUGACGGUACCGUAAGAAUAAGCACCGGCUAACUACGUGCCAGCAGCCGCAGUAAAAC
rnacentral:rRNA from 1 species